UACAGAGGUCCCAAGCGUUGUUCGGAUUCAUUGGGCGUAAAGGGUGCGUAGGUGGCGCUGUAAGUCGGGUGUGAAAUUUCGGAGCUUAACUCCGAAACUGCAUUCGAUACUGCGGUGCUCGAGGACUGGAGAGGAGACUGGAAUUCAUGGUGUAGCAGUGAAAUGCGUAGAGAUCAUGAGGAAGACCAGUGGCGAAGGCGGGUCUCUGGACAGUUCCUGACGCUGAGAAGCGAAAGCGUGGGGAGCGAACAGG
rnacentral:rRNA from 1 species